GCCUUCGUGGUGUAAAGGUAGCACGGUCAGCGCGUAUUCGAGAGGUCCAAGUUCGAGUCCUGGCGGGGGCA
rnacentral:tRNA from 1 species